UACGUAGGGGGCAAGCGUUGUCCGGAAUCAUUGGGCGUAAAGAGCGUGUAGGCGGCCCGGUAAGUCCGCUGUGAAAGUCCAGGGCUCAACCUUGGGAUGCCGGUGGAUACUGUCGGGCUCGAGUCCGGAAGAGGAGUGUGGAAUUCCUGGUGUAGCGGUGAAAUGCGCAGAUAUCAGGAGGAACACCAAUGGCGAAGGCAGCACUCUGGGACGUGACUGACGCUGAGACGCGAAAGCGUGGGGAGCAAACAGG
rnacentral:rRNA from 1 species